rnacentral:rRNA from 1 species
UACAGAGGUCUCAAGCGUUGUUCGGAUUCAUUGGGCGUAAAGGGUGCGUAGGUGGCGCGGUAAGUCGGGUGUGAAAUCUCGGGGCUUAACUCCGAAACUGCAUUCGAUACUGCCGUGCUUGAGGACUGGAGAGGAGACUGGAAUUUACGGUGUAGCAGUGAAAUGCGUAGAUAUCGUAAGGAAGACCAGUGGCGAAGGCGGGUCUCUGGACAGUUCCUGACACUGAGGCACGAAGGCCCAGGGGGAGCAAAACGGGG